UACGUAGGGGGCUAGCGUUGUCCGGAUUUAUUGGGCGUAAAGAGCGUGUAGGCGGCCAGGUAGGUCUGCUGUGAAAACUCGAGGCUUAACCUCGAGCUGUCGGCGGAAACCAUCUGGCUAGAGUCCGGAAGAGGAGAAUGGAAUUCCCGGUGUAGCGGUGAAAUGCGCAGAUAUCAGGAAGAACACCCGUGGCGAAAGCGGCUCUCUGGAACGGUACUGACGCUGAGACGCGAAAGCGUGGGGAGCGAACAGG
rnacentral:rRNA from 1 species